GACGAACGCGUGGCGGCGUGCCUAAUACAUGCAAGUCGAGCGAGCUUGCCUAGAUGAUUUUAGUGCUUGCACUAAAUGAAACUAGAUACAAGCGAGCGGCGGACGGGUGAGUAACGCGUGAGGAACCUGCCUCAAAGAGGGGGACAACAGUUGGAAACGACUGCUAAUACCGCAUAAGCCCACGACCCGGCAUCGGGUUGAGGGAAAAGGAGCAAUCCGCUUUGAGAUGGCCUCGCGUCCGAUUAGCUAGUUGGUGAGGUAACGGCCCACCAAGGCGACGAUCGGUAGCCGGACUGAGAGGUUGAACGGCCACAUUGGGACUGAGACACGGCCCAG
rnacentral:rRNA from 1 species